UUUAGAACCUGUCAAUAAUUAUAUUUAUUUUUCUGUAAAAGGCAAACUUCACAACAUGAUGACUCUGGGCUCUGUGAUGUAAAAGAGAAAAUUGAGGAGCUUCUACUAGCAUUUGAAGGUCUACCUGCCAUGUCAGCUAAACUGAGAGAGCUGUGCAAAUGCCUCACAGAACGGCAAAGUGAGGUUCUGAGAACAUCGUUCAAGUGCUGUGUGUUCAGAGGAGUGAUGGACAGUCCUGUCUCGGUGCUGUUGUAGCCUUAUUGGCUGUCGACAAUGCAUAGAGGCAGUAGUGGACGAGGGCUAAGCCUGUAUAAAAUGCAGGUCUGCAGUGUCAAGAGAUUUUAUUGUGGUUGUGGCUGGCUUGUCUGAGGUCCUGAGUAUCAUUAAGGCCUUAGACAAGCAGUACAACUCCUGUUGAAGCUGUCAACUGAACCCUCCAAGCUGAUGUCUGGGUCUGGCAAGAGCACAUUUUGAUUAGAAGGAAUCAUUUAAUUCGGUUUGGCCAUUUGCAUUUUUUUAAUGCUUUUCCUAUUAAAAGCUUGACUCUUCUGUUGUGACAUUGUGUUCUAGAUGGGAACUUUUCAUUUUGUCAAUCUUGUAGUCUGAUAUGGCUAGGAUCUGUAGUCUUCUUUCAGUGUAAUCAAGGAACUUUGCUGCUGUUCCAUGAUUGUAACAGGUGUAAUAUUACGCAAUGCUGUUACCUAGCUGGGAACAAUUUUUAAGUGCUGUAUGUUUCUUUUGCUACAGCCAUGGUAUGGCAGCAAAAUACUUUCAAAAUUAAGCUGGAAUGUGUAUAGAACCUAGCCAUAUCAGCCUAGAAAAAAAACUACCAUGUGAUGACAUAUGUCAAACUCUAAAUGGGAAAGUCAGAACUUUUUUUUAAUUAGCAAGAUGCUAUUGCAAUAAUCUAUGCUAAGCUAAAGCCAACUCCCCCACCCCCCUUAUUUAAAAUGUUUUGUAUUAGUUUGUAUGCAUGUUUAUAUGCAGUUUACACAAUACAGUACGUUAGUGUUAUUACUACCUUUUUCAUACAUUUUGUGAUUCAAAGACAAUGUUUUAAACAUUCUGUUGGCAUGUUUGAGAAUAAAAAAAA
rnacentral:lncRNA from 1 species